rnacentral:tRNA from 1 species
UGGCUCAGUGGAUAGAGCAUUGGCCUGCAGACUCAAAGGUCCCAGGUUCAAUUCCGGG